AUAAUUAAAAGCUUAUAGUGAUUCAGAUUGGGGGGCAUGUUCAGAUUCUUGAAGAUCGAUCAUGGGUUAUUGUGUAUUUAUUGCUUCCUCGUUAGUGUCUUGGAGAUCAAAGAAGCAGAACACUGUUUCUAGAUCCUCAGGCGAAGCAGAAUAUAGGGCCAUGGCAGCUGUAUGUUGUGAACUAACGUGGCUUAAGUAUAUCCUUGAUGAUCUGCGGGUUUCUCACUCAUAGCCGGCUGAAUUAUUUUGUGAUAAUCAAGUAGCCUUGCACAUAGCUAUUAACCCAGUGUUUCAUGAAAGGAUGAAGCAUAUUGAAUUGGAUUGCCAUCUUGCGCGUGACAAAAUUCAGGAGGGAAGUAUCAUUACAAGGCAUGUUAAAACUGGUCUUCAAAUUGCUGAUAUUCUUACAAAACCUCUCCCUUGACGCCUUCUAUUUUCAUCUGUCCAAGAUGGGAGCGGAAAACAUCCACUCUCCAUCUUGAGGGGGGCUGUUAAAUAUCAAAUAAUUGUACAACCAAGAAGGUCCUAGAAGCAUGAGGAAACAGCUCACGCACAUGCUCAAAUGAAGCAGAAUUCUGUUGUACUGUAAAUUUGUAACAAAUUCUCCCUGACACCUGUAUAGAUUAGUUUCAAUGAAUUGUUUAAAUAGGUCAUCCUUCCCUUCUCGAAAUACACAAGUGAAAUACCGAAUGCAUUGGUUUGAUCCUUCAUAAAUUAAAUUCCAUUCAUCUUUUUCUUCUAACCCAAUCUGUUAAUUUUUUGUUUCAAUGAAUAACUGAUUCUUGAUGCGAUGCCAAAUUCCUGGGCUUCAAGUUCACCAUAAAAUGUUGUCAUUCAAAACUUUUAAUUUCAUUUUUCCUGUCAUCAAGCUCUGGAAGCUAUUGAAAAACUCCAGAAAGAUGUGGAUUCACUGAUCGUGAUUCCAAUUGAUCGUCUGCUGGAUAUUGCUGACGAACAGCCUCCCCUGCAGGAUGCUUUUAUGAGCUAUUGAAUCUUGACCACCAUCAGUUGCUUUUUAGCUCCAUGACAACAUUUUGAUAUUUACCAACGCUGUGCAUCAUGCUAAAAUGUGUUAAUUUUUCCGCUUUUCAUGCCAAAAUAAUCUAAUAAUGAAUGUUGGAAAUUGGAAAUGUUUACUGCAGUUAAAAUCUGUAACAGUUUUGAGUAUCAAUACUGCUUGCUGUUUCCUGCUGCCUAAAUGCAGACUGCCGCAUUUUUCAGGCGAAUCAAAUAUUUCCAAAAGUUUCCUUAGGCCACAUUUUGUUGAGAGACCUUCCAUCGCAAGUUUAUGAGGAUGUAUGGCAAAGCUUGAAAAGUUUACUUAUCAGUACAUAAGUACAG
rnacentral:lncRNA from 1 species